AGCCCAGGAAAUGACAUUCCCUCUCCCUCCCUGCAGAAUCAUGCUGUGCUGUUGAGUGCAACCCAGAUACAGCCGCUCCCAGGGCGAUGCCCGCCAACCUGCAGGAGGAGCCCCUCCCCGAGGCCCAGAGAAGUCUGCAGAGGCCCUGGCCUUCCUCCGCCUGCUCAGCACACCUCCCGCCAUGGGUGGAAUCCUGAGACCAGAGAUCAGAGUCACCUCUGACGCUCCCCAGCCAGCUCUCUCUCCCCUUCCCCUGUGUAUUCCACCAGGACAGACAGGGGGGAUGUUCCUCUUUCUUUUCCUGCCCACGCCAGGACUUCCCCGUGUAAAACGGUGAGCAGGGUGGAUGCUCCAUUGAGGCCUGCAGGGCGGGACCGCAGCCCUGUGGGUAGACCGCAUCUGUCCAGUGAAUGGCCGGGAGAAGAUGUAGGUCUGCAGACAGGAAACCAGAACUCUGAGGACAAAUCUCAACAAACAGAUGAACUAUUUCCCAAAAUACAGCUAUUAACAUUGUGAUUCACUCUUUUACAUGCGAUUCAACAAGUGUUCAUUGAGAACUGAUAUGAAGGAGCUAAUAAAUAUUGACCAAAUCAUAAUGGCAGCAGCAUUUGUAAGUGUUUAUUUCCUUAUAUUGGCAAGGUGUUUUAAAGGUUUGAAGGGGCAUCAUCGAGGAGUUUCAGAAUACUUGAACACACCAUUUCAGGCAGGCGUAAAGAAGGGGAAAAGCCCUAAACCGUGAGGGGACUAGGGGAUGGAGCACACACAGGACUCAGAAUCUCUUCAGUUCGAAUCAGAAAGUUAAAUGCCAUAGAAGAGGUGAAGGCUGAGAUUGGGAAUGGGGACCCAUGGGCUUAGAGAGUCCCACACUCUAAAAUGAGAGAC